GYUUAUACUCGACCGUCAGCGGCAAGUGCGAUCGCGCGAACUUUCACGAGCGAGCGCGGUCACGAAGCCCUGACGAGUAGGAGGGUCGCGGCGGUGAGCGCAGAAGGGCUGGCCGCGAGGCCGUCUGGAGCCGCCGUCGGUGCAGAUCUUGGUGGUAGUAGCAAAUACUCCAGCGAGGCCCUGGAGGACUGACGUGGAGAAGGGUUUCGUGUGAACAGCCGUUGCACACGAGUCAGUCGAUCCUAAGCCCUAGGCGAAAGCCGAUGUCGAUGCGGUGUAGUUUUUACGAUAAAUAGAUAGAUCAGAUAGACGAAGUUCGACGACUACGACGAAAGAAACAUUAAUUCGUCGUCUAGUCGUCGUCGUCGUCAUCGUAAGUCUAAUUAAUAACGCGAGAGCACACACCCGUCGGGCGAAAGGGAAUCCGGUUCCUAUUCCGGAACCUGGCAGCGGAACCGUCAAAAAGUCGGGC
rnacentral:rRNA from 1 species